CCACCCACAAUACCUCCUUUAUACAUGUGAAUCAUCACCAUCAUCAAUGGUUCUUCUGUUGCUUUGCAACCAUAGCAUCUUGAGGUGUGGGUGGGCGGGAGGGUCAAUUGUUCCAAAAUCAAUCUCAAGGUGCAAUUUUGUCAUAUCGUUGCAAGAAAAAAAUCAUUACAAUUUUCAAAAAUGACCUUCAGCAAUAUUGUCAGUGUUUCAUAUCCAGUUGUUUCCCUGAUGCAGAGUAAACUCCCUGCUCUUUCAUCGCUCUCUCCAAAUAAGACAAUUUGAAAAUGAUAUGUUAAUAAAACAUGAAUAAAGUAGUGUUUUGAUUAGAAACAAAUCUGAUGAAUGCUCACUCUCACCUUUCAGUGAUGAUGUGAGGGUUCCAUAUUCUUUUUUCCUUUGAUGAACAGUCUUUCCUGCUCUUUCCAAGAGGUGUCUCCUCUGAAGCAGCAGCAACAGCGCCCUCUGCAAAGAAAAGUCUAAAAAGCUUACAGCACCUGGUAUUCCCAGGCGGUCUCCCAUUCAAGUACUAACCAGGCCCGACCCUGCUUAGCUUCCGAGAUCGGACGAGAUCGGGCGUGUUCAGGGUGGUAUGGCCGUAAGCGAUUAACU
rnacentral:misc_RNA from 1 species